rnacentral:rRNA from 1 species
GGGGAUACCCGGGGAAAAUUUGGAUUAAUAUCCCAUAAUAUUGUUGGAUGCAUCAUUUGCAAUUAAAGUAACGAUGUUGAAGAUGGGCAUGCGUCCUAUUAGCUAGUUGGCGAGGUAACGGCUCGCCAAGGCGACGAUAGGUAGGGGUCCUGAGAGGGAGAUCCCCCACACUGGUACUGAGACAGGGACCAGACUCCUACGGGAGGCAGCAGUGAGGAAUAUUGGUCAAUGGUCGGAAGACUGAACCAGCCAUCCGCGUGCAGGAAGGCGGCCUUAUGGGUUGUAAACUGCUUUUAUAUGGGAAGAAUAAGGAGUACGUGUACUUUGAUGACGGUACCAUAUGAAUA